rnacentral:lncRNA from 1 species
AAAGAGCAAAGCAGAAAAUAUGGCUACCCACUGAGAUAAUUACAAAAGUAGAAAAGAAAGAGAAAAACAAAAGUAAGGAAUAAACAUUCUACCAGAAUGAUGUAAUUUAUUAUCUUUCGGAGACAUAUGUAUAAACCCCAUCAGUGGGUAAUAUGUAUAAACCCAUCAGAGGGUAAAAAAAAAAAAAAAAAAAAAAAAAAAAAAAAAAGGAAAAGCCCAAAACAAAUGGGCUGACAUGUUGUGGAAGGCGAAG